rnacentral:rRNA from 1 species
UACGUAGGGUGCAAGCGUUAAUCGGAAUUACUGGGCGUAAAGCGUGCGCAGGCGGUCCGCUAAGACAGAUGUGAAAUCCCCGGGCUUAACCUGGGAACUGCAUUUGUGACUGGCGGGCUAGAGUAUGGCAGAGGGGGGUAGAAUUCCACGUGUAGCAGUGAAAUGCGUAGAGAUGUGGAGGAAUACCGAUGGCGAAGGCAGCCCCCUGGGCCAAUACUGACGCUCAUGCACGAAAGCGUGGGGAGCGAACAGG